UACAGAGGGUGCGAGCGUUAAUCGGAAUUACUGGGCGUAAAGGGCGCGUAGGCGGUCUUGUAAGUUGGAUGUGAAAUCCCUGGGCUUAACCUGGGAACUGCAUUCAAAACUGCUUGACUAGAGUUUGGUAGAGGGUAGUGGAAUUCCCGGUGUAGCGGUGAAAUGCGUAGAUAUCGGGAGGAACAUCAGUGGCGAAGGCGGCUACCUGGACCAGAACUGACGCUGAGGCGCGAAAGCGUGGGGAGCAAACAGGAUUAGAAACCCCAGUAGU
rnacentral:rRNA from 1 species